UGGCGGCAGGCCUAACACAUGCAAGUCGAGCGGUAGCACAGAGAGCUUGCUCUCGGGUGACGAGCGGCGGACGGGUGAGUAAUGUCUGGGAAACUGCCUGAUGGAGGGGGAUAACUACUGGAAACGGUAGCUAAUACCGCAUAACGUCGCAAGACCAAAGUGGGGGACCUUCGGGCCUCAUGCCAUCAGAUGUGCCCAGAUGGGAUUAGCUAGUAGGUGGGGUAACGGCUCACCUAGGCGACGAUCCCUAGCUGGUCUGAGAGGAUGACCAGCCACACUGGAACUGAGACACGGUCCAGACUCCUACGGGAGGCAGCAGUGGGGAAUAUUGCACAAUGGGCGCAAGCCUGAUGCAGCCAUGCCGCGUGUGUGAAGAAGGCCUUCGGGUUGUAAAGCACUUUCAGCGGGGAGGAAGGCGGUGAGGUUAAUAACCUCACCGAUUGACGUUACCCGCAGAAGAAGCACCGGCUAACUCCGUGCCAGCAGCCGCGGUAAUACGGAGGGUGCAAGCGUUAAUCGGAAUUACUGGGCGUAAAGCGCACGCAGGCGGUCUGUCAAGUCGGAUGUGAAAUCCCCGGGCUCAACCUGGGAACUGCAUUCGAAACUGGCAGGCUAGAGUCUUGUAGAGGGGGGUAGAAUUCCAGGUGUAGCGGUGAAAUGCGUAGAGAUCUGGAGGAAUACCGGUGGCGAAGGCGGCCCCCUGGACAAAGACUGACGCUCAGGUGCGAAAGCGUGGGGAGCAAACAGGAUUAGAUACCCUGGUAGUCCACGCUGUAAACGAUGUCGAUUUGGAGGUUGUGCCCUUGAGGCGUGGCUUCCGGAGCUAACGCGUUAAAUCGACCGCCUGGGGAGUACGGCCGCAAGGUUAAAACUCAAAUGAAUUGACGGGGGCCCGCACAAGCGGUGGAGCAUGUGGUUUAAUUCGAUGCAACGCGAAGAACCUUACCUGGUCUUGACAUCCACAGAACUUUCCAGAGAUGGAUUGGUGCCUUCGGGAACUGUGAGACAGGUGCUGCAUGGCUGUCGUCAGCUCGUGUUGUGAAAUGUUGGGUUAAGUCCCGCAACGAGCGCAACCCUUAUCCUUUGUUGCCAGCGGUCAGGCCGGGAACUCAAAGGAGACUGCCAGUGAUAAACUGGAGGAAGGUGGGGAUGACGUCAAGUCAUCAUGGCCCUUACGACCAGGGCUACACACGUGCUACAAUGGCAUAUACAAAGAGAAGCGACCUCGCGAGAGCAAGCGGACCUCAUAAAGUAUGUCGUAGUCCGGAUUGGAGUCUGCAACUCGACUCCAUGAAGUCGGAAUCGCUAGUAAUCGUAGAUCAGAAUGCUACGGUGAAUACGUUCCCGGGCCUUGUACACACCGCCCGUCACACCAUGGGAGUGGGUUGCAAAAAAAGUAGGUAGCUUAACCUUCGGGAGGGCGCUUACCACUUUGUGAUUCA
rnacentral:rRNA from 1 species